UACGUAGGGAGCGAGCGUUGUCCGGAUUCAUUGGGCGUAAAGAGCUCGUAGGCGGUUCGGUAAGUCGGGUGUGAAAUCUCCGUGCUCAACACGGAGCGGCCACCUGAUACUGCCGUGACUCGAGUCCGGUAGGGGAGUGUGGAAUUCCUGGUGUAGCGGUGGAAUGCGCAGAUAUCAGGAGGAACACCAACGGCGAAGGCAGCUCGCUGGGACGGUACUGACACUGAGGCGCGAAAGCGUGGGGAGCGAACAGG
rnacentral:rRNA from 1 species